rnacentral:lncRNA from 1 species
GAUGUUCACGUUGCUAAUUGCCGAGGUCCUCUUCUAGGAUUGGUUGUCCACUCAUAACCAUAAGAUAAUUAAAACGGGGGGGGGCAGGGUAAAAAAAAAACCCUUUUAUCAGCCAUAGGUUAAUGCAAGUGUUUAACAGAUGCUUCGCUAUUAAAAUAUUUCCCCCCAAUACUGAAGAAUCUUAAACCAGCAACCCUAACAGAGAUUGCGAAGAUUUUCAAAGUGGGGCACCUCGAUUUCUCGAAUCUGUGGUGUGGCGAAUAUCCGUGUUCCUCCUGCUUAACUAGCCUGUUUGGCAGGUCUGAUUCUAUUUAUUCUAAAGACAGAGUUGGAGAUGGGCUACCAUUGGUGUUGAUUGAGAUGACAAGCAGUCACCUGAGCCCAUACAGCUGUGGGAGAAAGUGCUUGCUGCCAAGCUUGAUGACCUAAAUUGAAUACCUGGAACCUACACGACAGAAAGAGAGAGCUGACUGCUGAAAGAUGUCCUCAGAUCUUCACAUGUGCACAGUGGCACCUAUCCAACCAUGCACAUAGUAUAUUAAAAAUUAUUUUUUAAAAAAUCCA